UGGGGGAUAUUGCACAAUGGGGGGAACCCUGAUGCAGCGACGCCGCGUGGGUGAAGGAGCGUUUCGGCGCGUAAAGCCCUAUCGGCAAGGAAGAAGGAGGACGGUACCUGACUAAGAAGCCCCGGCUAACUACGUGCC
rnacentral:rRNA from 1 species